CCUUAAUAUAUAAAAUAUAAUAGAGCUAAAACUCGUAAUCUGGUUAUAACAUGUUAAAUGAUGAUUAUAUCCAAAAGAUUAAAAGAGUUAAGCAUAUGUACUAGAACUAAAAUAGCUAGAACCGAUCAUGCAGUGAACAAAAUUUAACGCUCCUGAGAUAUGAAAUAGUUCUAUAUAUGAGAUAUAAUAUGAUUAAAUUUUGUAAUUUUGUCAUAACAUGUUGCACGGUAGCUAGAUUCAAAAUGUUGAUUAAGACGGUUGAGCAUAUUAGAGAUAGGGUAGUU
rnacentral:lncRNA from 1 species